rnacentral:sRNA from 1 species
CUGUCAGCUGGACUGAUGCUCGUGUGCUUUGUGCUCACAGCAUCGCUAGUCCCAGAGACGUUUCGUGGAGUCCUCGUCUACACAGAUCCUACAUUCCAAGAGACCGUCCCCAUCGCCGCCAACGUCAAAACCACACAUGG